AUUGAACGCUGGCGGCAUGCUUUACACAUGCAAGUCGAACGGUAACAGGCCGCAAGGUGCUGACGAGUGGCGAACGGGUGAGUAAUGCAUCGGAACGUGCCCAGUCGUGGGGGAUAACGCAGCGAAAGCUGCGCUAAUACCGCAUACGAUCGAUGGAUGAAAGCGGGGGACCGUAAGGCCUCGCGCGAUUGGAGCGGCCGAUGUCAGAUUAGGUAGUUGGUGGGGUAAAGGCUCACCAAGCCAACGAUCUGUAGCUGGUCUGAGAGGACGACCAGCCACACUGGGACUGAGACACGGCCCAGACUCCUACGGGAGGCAGCAGUGGGGAAUUUUGGACAAUGGGGGCAACCCUGAUCCAGCAAUGCCGCGUGCAGGAAGAAGGCCUUCGGGUUGUAAACUGCUUUUGUACGGAACGAAACGGUCUGGGUUAAUACCCUGGGCUAAUGACGGUACCGUAAGAAUAAGCACCGGCUAACUACGAGCCAGCCGCCGCGGUAACAC
rnacentral:rRNA from 1 species